rnacentral:hammerhead_ribozyme from 1 species
AGUUAGCUGAGGAGUCCUAGAUAGGACGAAAUGCGCAUAUAAUCCUGAAU